rnacentral:rRNA from 1 species
AACGAACGCUGGCGGCAUGCCUAACACAUGCAAGUCGAACGAGACCUUCUGGUCUAGUGUCGCACGGGUGCGUAACGCGUGGGAACCUGCCCUUAGGUUCGGAAUAACUCCCCGAAAGGGGUUCUAAUACCGGAUAAUGUCUUCGGACCAAAGAUUUAUCGCCUUUGGAUGGGCCCGCGUUGGAUUAGCUAGUUGGUAGGGUAAAAGCCUACCAAGGCGACGAUCCAUAGCUGGUCUGAGAGGAUGAUCAGCCACACUGGGACUGAGACACGGCCCAGACUCCUACGGGAGGCAGCAGUGGGGAAUAUUGGACAAUGGGCGAAAGCCUGAUCCAGCAAUGCCGCGUGAGUGAUGAAGGCCUUAGGGUUGUAAAGCUCUUUUACCCGGGAUGAUAAUGACAGUACCGGGAGAAUAAGCUCCGGCUAACUCCGUG